rnacentral:rRNA from 1 species
AUACGUAGGUGACAAGCGUUAUCCGGAUUUACUGGGCGUAAAGGGCGUGUAGGCGGUCUUGCAAGUCAGAAGUGAAAUUCCUGAGCUCAACUCGGGCGCUGCUUCUGAAACUGCAGGACUUGAGUGCUGGAGGGGGUAGCGGAAUUCCUAGUGGAGCGGUAAAAUGCGCAGAUAUUAGGAAGAACACCGGUGGCGAAGGCGCUUCACUAGCCCGAAACUGACGCUCAGUCACGAAAGCGUGGGUAGCAAAUAGGAUUAGAUACCCUAGUAGUCCACGCUGUAAACGAUGACAACUAAAUAUUGCCGCGAGGCAGUGUUGAAGCUAACGCAUUAAGUUGUCCGCCUGGGGAGUACGGUCGCAAGACUGAAACUUAAAGGAAUUGACGGGG